UACCAGCACCCCGAGUGGUCGGGACGAUUAUUGGGCCUAAAGCAUCCGUAGCCGGUUUUACAAGUCCCCCGUUAAAUCCACCUGCUUAACAGAUGGGCUGCGGAGGAUACUAUAGAGCUAGGAGGCGGGAGAGGCAAGCGGUACUUAGUGGGUAGGGGUAAAAUCCGUUGAUCCAAUGAAGACCACCAGUGGCGAAGGCGGCUUGCCAGAACGCACUCGACGGUGAGGGAUGAAAGCUGGGGGAGCAAACCGG
rnacentral:rRNA from 1 species